GAUGAACGCUAGCUACCGGCUUAACACAUGCAAGUCGAGGGGUAACGAGAGGGAAGCUUGCUUUCCUUGUCGACGACCGGCGCUCGGGUGAGUAACGCGUAUCCAACCUGCCCCCAACUAGGGAAUAACCUUGCGAAAGUAAGACUAAUACCCUAUACUUUCCUCAGAUGUCAUCUGACGAGGAAUAAAGAUUUAUCGGUUGUGGAUGGGGAUGCGUCUGAUUAGCUUGUUGGCGGGGUAACGGCCCACCAAGGCAACGAUCAGUAGGGGUUCUGGGAGGAAGGGCCGCGACAUUGGAACUGAGACAAGGGCCAAACGCCGACGGGAGGCAGCAGUGAGGAAGAUUGGUCAAUGGGCGGAAGCCUGAACCAGCCAAGUAGCGUGGAGGAUGACGGCCCUAUGGGUUGUAAACUGCUUUUAUACAGGAAUAAAGUUAGCCACGUGUGGUUAUUUGUAGGUACUGUAUGAAUAAGGACCGGCUAAUUCCGUGCCAGCCGCCGCGGUAA
rnacentral:rRNA from 1 species